GGGAGAUUAGUCCGUAGGGGUAGCGGGACGCACUGUAAAUGCGUUGUCUUAAUGGCUCGGGUGGUUCGACUCCAUCAUCUCCCACCA
rnacentral:tRNA from 1 species